AUUGAACGCUGGCGGCAUGCUUUACACAUGCAAGUCGAGCGGCAGCGCGGGGCAACCUGGCGGCGAGCGGCGGACGGGUGAGUAGAGCAUCGGAACGUAUCCCGUAGUGGGGGACAACCCAGCGAAAGCUGGGCUAAUACCGCAUAUGCUCUACGGAGGAAAGUGGGGGACUCGCAAGGGCCUCACGCUAUGGGAGCGGCCGAUUUCCGAUUAGCUAGGUGGUGGGGUAAAGGCCCACCAAGGCGACGAUCGGUAGCUGGUCUGAGAGGAUGAUCAGCCACACUGGGACUGAGACACGGCCCAGACUCCUACGGGAGGCAGCAGUGGGGAAUUUUGGACAAUGGGGGCAACCCUGAUCCAGCCAUGCCGCGUGCGGGAAGAAGGCCUUCGGGUUGUAAACCGCUUUUGUCUGGGAAGGAAAGGCCUCGUCUAAUACACGGGGUUCUUGACGGUACUGGAAGAAUAAGCACCAGCUAACUACGUGCCAGCCGCCGCUGUAACAC
rnacentral:rRNA from 1 species